UCUGAAUCUGCGAACGGCUCCGCACACCAGUUGUAAACUAUAGCAAGUCCGCAUGACCACGGGCAACCGUGGUUGUGCUCACAGGGAUAACCCUGGUAAUUCUGAGGCUAAUACAAGAACGUAAAACUCGGUUAACCGGUUCGCUGGAAGGCCGAGGGUCGUGUGAGGCUUUUACUGCAACACCGACACGAAAGAGUGCACGAUCAAACCACCAUAAUAAACGAUAGGGCAGGGAAACCCCAUUAGGGAUGUACCGGUCCGUUCGGGUGGGCCUUGCUGUGUGCUUCUGACCUAUCAACUAGAUGGCAGCGUAAAGGACAUGCUAUGGU
rnacentral:rRNA from 1 species